rnacentral:rRNA from 1 species
GACGAACGCUGGCGGCGUGCUUAACACAUGCAAGUCGAACGGGAACCUUUAUUUCGGUAAAGGUGAGAGUGGCAAACGGGUGAGUAACACGUAGGCAACCUGCCGACAGGAUGGGGACAACAUUCCGAAAGGAAUGCUAAUACCGAAUGGAGUCCGAGGAUGGCAUCAUCCUUGGAUAAAAGAUGGCCUCUUAACAAUGCUAUCGCCUGUCGAUGGGCCUGCGUCUGAUUAGCCAGUUGGCGGGGUAACGGCCCACCAAAGCGACGAUCAGUAGCCGGUCUGAGAGGAUGAACGGCCACAUUGGGACUGAGACACGGCCCAGACUCCUACGGGAGGCAGCAGUGGGGAAUCUUCCACAAUGGGCGAAAGCCUGAUGGAGCAACGCCGCGUGAGUGAAGAAGGUCUUCGGAUCGUAAAGCUCUGUUGCACGGGACGAAAACUGGGUUUGAGAACAUGAACCUGGGGACGGUACCG